AUACGGAGGGGACAAGCGUUGUUCGGAAUUACUGGGCGUAAAGAGCGCGUAGGCGGUCGAGUAAGUCGAAUGUGAAAUCCCCGGGCUCAACCCGGGAACUGCAUCCGAAACUGCUUGACUAGAGUCCCGGAGAGGAGGGCAGAAUUCCCAGUGUAGGGGUGAAAUCCGUAGAUAUUGGGAGGAAUACCAGUGGCGAAGGCGGCCUUCUGGACGGUGACUGACGCUGAGGCGCGAAAGCGUGGGGAGCAAACAGGAUUAGAAACCCCAGUAGUCC
rnacentral:rRNA from 1 species